UGUGUGAGUGUGUGAGAGGACAGAAGAACACGUCAGCUUCAACAUCAACAUGUUCUCAGCAGCUCUGAUGCUGCUGCUGGCAGCUGGAUCCUGUGUGAACAGUAUUGAUCUCCUGCAGACAGACUCAGUGGUUGUUCAGCCUGGACAGCCUUUGACCAUCAUCUGUCAGGUGUCUGGUUAUUCUCUGACUGAUAACAGCUAUGCAACAGGUUGGAUCAGACAGCCUGAAGGAAAAACAAUGGAGUGGAUUUUUUAUCAGUGGGGUGGAGGAACCUUUUAUCAAAAUAAUGGUCUGAAGAACAAAUUCAGCUACAGCAGAGACACUUCUGCUGGAACAGUGACGAUUAAAGGACAGAAUCUGCAGCCUGAGGACACAGCCGUGUAUUUCUGUGUGCGGAGAGACACAAUGAUAAAACCACAACCAGACCUGCACAAAAACAACACAUGA